GUAACAGUAUGUAUUUUUAUGUCUUUUGUUGUCCUUUGUCUGCCAUGUGGCUAAUGGAGUCUUGUGUCUGUCCUGGGAGAUAAUUGAAUUACUUCUCACUUAUCUCCAGGGUAGAAGACUCUGAAACUGGUUUGGGCCGGAAAGCCAUGCUUCAUUUAGUCACAAAGGACUUUCCCUUAACUUUUGAACCCCUGGUCUGAUUCGUGCCAUUUUUUAAUAUGUUGUUCC